rnacentral:rRNA from 1 species
GACGAACGCUGGCGGCGUGCCUAAUACAUGCAAGUCGAGCGGACGGAUGGGAGCUUGCUCCCAGACCGUCAGCGGCGGACGGGUUAGUAACACGUGGGCAACCUGCCUGUAAGACUGGGAUAACUCCGGGAAACCGGGGCUAAUACCGGAUAACUCUUUCCCUCACAUGAGGGAAAGCUGAAAGAUGGCAUCUCGCUAUCACUUACAGAUGGGCCCGCGGCGCAUUAGCUAGUUGGUGAGGUAACGGCUCACCAAGGCGACGAUGCGUAGCCGACCUGAGAGGGUGAUCGGCCACACUGGGACUGAGACACGGCCCAGACUCCUACGGGAGGCAGCAGUAGGGAAUCUUCCGCAAUGGACGAAAGUCUGACGGAGCAACGCCGCGUGAGUGAUGAAGGUUUUCGGAUCGUAAAACUCUGUUGUCAGGGAAGAACAAGUACCGGAGUAACUGACGGUACCUUGACGGUACCUGAACAGAAAGCAACGGCUAACUACGUG